GGCUUAAUGAUUUUAAUAUUAGGUCUAUCUGCCCAAUGAUUUAAUAUUAUUAAAUGGCUGCAGUAUAAUUGACUGUACAAAGGUAGCAUAAUCAAUUGUUUCUUAAUUAGAAACUGGAAUGAAAGAAUUAAUGAGAUAUAUACUGUCUCAUAUAUAUUUAAUUAAUUUAAAUUUUUAGUAAAAAUGCUAAAAUAAAUUUAUGGGACGAUAAGACCCUAUAGAAUUUUAUAUUUAUAUUUAAAUUAAUAAUUAUUUUUAGAUAUUAAUAUUUGAUUGGGAGGAUUAAUAAAUUUAAUUAACUUUAUUUAAAAUAUAAACUUUAAUUAAAGAAUAAUUAAUGAUCUUUUAUUAAAAAUUAAAAGAAUAAAUUACCUUAGGGAUAACAGCGUAAUAUCUUUUUAAAGAUCAUAUUAAUAAAGAUGAUUGCGACCUCGAUGUUGAAUUAAGAUAAAUUUUAAAUGGAGAAAUUUAAUAAUUAAGUCUGUUCGACUUUUAAAAUCUU
rnacentral:rRNA from 1 species